UGUAUCUGAAGCCUGACGAGGAUGAGAACCUCCGGGGGCAAGAGGUUCGACCCGAGCGAAGCGAGAGAACGUUGCGCUAGCAACGGCCCGCAGGGCGAGCCACCCUCUAUCACCGGCAG
rnacentral:sRNA from 3 species